UACAGAGGGUGCGAACGUUGCUCGGAAUUACUGGGCGUAAAGCGCAUGUAGGCGGAUCCAUAAGUCGGGCGUGAAAUCCCCAGGCUCAACCUGGGAACUGCGCUCGAAACUGUGGGUCUUGAGUGUUGGAGAGGAUGGCGGAAUUCCUGGUGUAGAGGUGAAAUUCGUAGAUAUCAGGAGGAACACCGGUGGCGAAGGCGGCCAAUCUGGACAACAACUG
rnacentral:rRNA from 1 species